rnacentral:lncRNA from 1 species
CGCCCGCUGGAAACCUGUGUCCAGAGCAGGAGAGCAACCGGAAGUGAGGCCUGCUGGCUGAGAGAGACCACUGUGAGCAGGGCCCCGAAACUCACCGGCUCGUUCUGGGGCGCUUUCUUCCCGACUGUUCGCACGCUGAAGGCCUUGUGCUCACCUCGCCUAUUUGUGUGUCUUCUCAGCACAUGGAGACCCAGAAGAAUCAGUGUAAAAUAGGCCCAAUGCAAUGGAGACUGCAGACCAUGGACCUAAACCUCUGAAACCAUCAUUGCGUAUUUCCCACCACGUGACACCAUCUGGAAUCUCACCCUCAGUCAGCAUAGCCAUCAGAGUCCAGAUCUGAGUCAGUUAAACAAGAGCAAAAUCAUUUGGAAGCAACCCGGGUUACCUAGAACUGGAAUAUUGGAUCCAGAAUUUUCGAUAUGUGCUUUCAUUUUGAACAGACCACUUUUUUGGAAACUGUACAGAGUUCAGGAAAGAAAAUCUCACAGAAAAUCUUUACUUGAUCUGCUGGGAGUUUCAUAUCCUGUGGAGUUCCAUCUCCACCCAAGAAACCUUUC